rnacentral:lncRNA from 1 species
UCUCCCAGGAGAAGAAGACCUUAUAAUUUAUCAGAAAGGAGGCAGGUCAGCCCUCCUGAGGGGCUGCGAUGCUGCUGGAGAUCGCCUCAUUGGGUACAUCCAGGGGUGCACCUGCUGCAGGGCUGUGGCCUGAAGACAUGGGUGAUUCAUUUGUAAUAACAAAUUAUAAUGGGGAUGCUUUUACUUCUUGCAUCCUGGGGCUUGAUUUGAAUUUG